AAGGCGGAUAGGAACCAUUAUGUAUGUGUUGCUUAGUGGGCCGAUUCACCGCCAAAAUCAUUACGAAGGAAUUUCCUAAUCUGACCAGCUUCUGCUGGUUGUUUAUUUUUUCCUUCGGACAGCC
rnacentral:snoRNA from 1 species